CGGGGGCAAGAGGUUCGACUCGAGCGCAGCGAGAGAACGUUGCGUCAGCAACGGCCCGCAGGGCGAGCCACGCAGUGGCGAGUCAUCCUCUAUCACCGGCAG
rnacentral:sRNA from 1 species